rnacentral:rRNA from 1 species
GACGAACGCUGGCGGCGUGCUUAACACAUGCAAGUCGAACGGAAAGGCCCUGCUUUUGUGGGGUGCUCGAGUGGCGAACGGGUGAGUAACACGUGAGUAACCUGCCCUUGACUUUGGGAUAACUUCAGGAAACUGGGGCUAAUACCGGAUAGGAGCUCCUGCUGCAUGGUGGGGGUUGGAAAGUUUCGGCGGGAGGGGAUGGACUCGCGGCUUAUCAGCUUGUUGGUGGGGUAGUUGCUUACCGAGGCUUUGACGGGUAGCCGGCCUGAGCGGGUGACCGGCGACAUGGGUACUGAGGGACGGCGCAGACGGCUACUGUGGGCAGCAGUGGGAAGUAUGGUACAAUGGGCGGGAGCCUGAGGCAACAGCGCCGCGGGUGGGAUGACGGCCUUCGGGUGGUAAAACGCUUCCGCCUGUGACGAAGGGUGAGUGACGGUAAUGGGUAAAGAAGCACCGGCUAACUACGUG